CAAACAGGAUCCCAAUUUUCAGGGCAAGAACAGGGCUCUUUGCAAGGGCACUCUCCAGUGCAAGAAACAUCAACAUUGGCGCACUCAGCUUCACAAGGGUUGCCGUAGGUUUGACCAUCGGUUCCACAAACCGGAUCCCAUAUGUCAUUGCAAAUGCAUGAUUCUUUGCAAGGACACUCUCCAGUGCAAGAAACAUCAACAUUGGCGCACUCAGCUUCACAAUGGUUGCCGUAGGUUUGACCAUCGGUUCCACAAACCGGAUCCCAUAUGUCAUUGCAAAUGCAUGAUUCUUUGCAAGGACACUCUCCA